GCCUAGCUCAGUUGGCAGAGCAUUGGGCUAGUAUUCCAAAGGUCGGAGGUUCGAUUCCCAUGCA
rnacentral:tRNA from 1 species